rnacentral:rRNA from 1 species
UACAGAGGGUGCGAGCGUUGUCCGGAAUCACUGGGCGUAAAGGGCGCGUAGGCGGCUUUUCAAGCGUGCGGUGAAAGCUCGGGGCUUAACUCCGAGUCUGCCGUGCGAACUGGGAGGCUUGAGUCUGGUAGAGGUCGAUGGAAUUCCGGGUGUAGCGGUGGAAUGCGUAGAGAUCCGGAAGAACACCGGUGGCGAAGGCGGUCGACUGGGCCAGUACUGACGCUGGAGGCGCGACAGCGUGGGGAGCAAACAGG